rnacentral:rRNA from 1 species
GACGAACGCUGGCGGCGUGCUUAACACAUGCAAGUCGAACGGAAAGGCCCUGCUUUUGUGGGGUGCUCGAGUGGCGAACGGGUGAGUAACACGUGGGUAACCUGCCCUUGACUUUGGGAUAACUUCAGGAAACUGGGGCUAAUACCGGAUAGGAGCUCCUGCUGCAUGGUGGGGGUUGGAAAGUUUCGGCGGUUGGGGAUGGACUCGCGGCUUAUCAGCUUGUUGGUGGGGUAGUGGCUUACCAAGGCUUCGACGGGUAGCCGGCCUGAGAGGGUGACCGGCCACAUUGGGACUAAGAUACGGCCCAGACUCCUACGGGAGGCAGCAGUGGGGAAUAUUGCACAAUGGGCGGAAGCCUGAUGCAGCAACGCCGCGUGCGGGAUGACGGCCUUCGGGUUGUAAACCGCUUUCGCCUGUGACGAAGCGUGAGUGACGGUAAUGGGUAAAGAAGCACCGGCUAACUACGUG